AAAUUGAAGAGUUUGAUCAUGGCUCAGAUUGAACGCUGGCGGCAGGCCUAACACAUGCAAGUCGAACGGUAACAGGAAGCAGCUUGCUGCUUCGCUGACGAGUGGCGGACGGGUGAGUAAUGUCUGGGAAACUGCCUGAUGGAGGGGGAUAACUACUGGAAACGGUGGCUAAUACCGCAUAACGUCGCAAGACCAAAGAGGGGGACCUUCGGGCCUCUUGCCAUCAGAUGUGCCCAGAUGGGAUUAGCUAGUUGGUGAGGUAACGGCUCACCAAGGCGACGAUCCCUAGCUGGUCUGAGAGGAUGACCAGCCACACUGGAACUGAGACACGGUCCAGACUCCUACGGGAGGCAGCAGUGGGGAAUAUUGCACAAUGGGCGCAAGCCUGAUGCAGCCAUGCCGCGUGUAUGAAGAAGGCCUUCGGGUUGUAAAGUACUUUCAGCGGGGAGGAAGGUGUUGUGGUUAAUAACCGCAGCAAUUGACGUUACCCGCAGAAGAAGCACCGGCUAACUCCGUGCCAGCAGCCGCGGUAAUACGGAGGGUGCAAGCGUUAAUCGGAAUUACUGGGCGUAAAGCGCACGCAGGCGGUCUGUCAAGUCGGAUGUGAAAUCCCCGGGCUCAACCUGGGAACUGCAUUCGAAACUGGCAGGCUUGAGUCUUGUAGAGGGGGGUAGAAUUCCAGGUGUAGCGGUGAAAUGCGUAGAGAUCUGGAGGAAUACCGGUGGCGAAGGCGGCCCCCGACAAAGACUGACGCUCAGGUGCGAAAGCGUGGGGAGCAAACAGGAUUAGAUACCCUGGUAGUCCACGCCGUAAACGAUGUCUACUUGGAGGUUGUGCCCUUGAGGCGUGGCUUCCGGAGCUAACGCGUUAAGUAGACCGCCCGGGAGUACGGCCGCAAGGUUAAAACUCAAAUGAAUUGACGGGGGCCCGCACAAGCGGUGGAGCAUGUGGUUUAAUUCGAUGCAACGCGAAGAACCUUACCUGGUCUUGACAUCCACAGAACUUUCCAGAGAUGGAUUGGUGCCUUCGGGAACUGUGAGACAGGUGCUGCAUGGCUGUCGUCAGCUCGUGUUGUGAAAUGUUGGGUUAAGUCCCGCAACGAGCGCAACCCUUAUCCUUUGUUGCCAGCGAUUAGGUCGGGAACUCAAAGGAGACUGCCAGUGAUAAACUGGAGGAAGGUGGGGAUGACGUCAAGUCAUCAUGGCCCUUACGACCAGGGCUACACACGUGCUACAAUGGCGCAUACAAAGAGAAGCGACCUCGCGAGAGCAAGCGGACCUCAUAAAGUGCGUCGUAGUCCGGAUUGGAGUCUGCAACUCGACUCCAUGAAGUCGGAAUCGCUAGUAAUCGUGGAUCAGAAUGCCACGGUGAAUACGUUCCCGGGCCUUGUACACACCGCCCGUCACACCAUGGGAGUGGGUUGCAAAAGAAGUAGGUAGCUUAACCUUCGGGAGGGCGCUUACCACUUUGUGAUUCAUGACUGGGGUGAAGUCGUAACAAGGUAACCGUAGGGGAACCUGCGGUUGGAUCACCUCCUUACCUUAAAGAAGC
rnacentral:rRNA from 1 species